AUGCUUAGAGUUCAUGACAGAGACGUAUAAAUCCGGGUUUUCAUCAAUAAAAUGAGAGUUUGAGUCAAUUUUAUGUUACGAAUACUUCAUCAAUUCUCAAAUACUAUUCUAAUAACUUUUUUGGCCACCAAACAAAAUGGACGGUAUGUAUCAUUCCAUAUAAGCUUUCUACAAUGCAUUCACGCUAGCUCUUUCAUUCUGAUUCAUCACUAGGAGGCUCUUCGAAAAAGUAAAAGUAAUGAAAAUAACAAUAUAUAAAAAUAAAAAUAAGAAAUGAUGGAAGAAAAGAAUAUGAAAGACUUAAAAAAGAGAGUAAAAAAGAAAAAUCUAGAUGAUAAGGUUACUCCACUUAUUCCCAUCC
rnacentral:lncRNA from 1 species